rnacentral:rRNA from 1 species
AAUAUUGCACAAUGGGCGAAAGCCUGAUGCAGCGACGCCGCGUGAGGGAUGACGGCCUUCGGGUUGUAAACCUCUUUCAGUAGGGAAGAAGCGAAAGUGACGGUACCUGCAGAAGAAGCACCGGCUAACUACGUGCCAGCAGCCGCGGUAAUACGUAGGGUGCGAGCGUUAUCCGGAAUUAUUGGGCGUAAAGAGCUCGUAGGCGGUUUGUCGCGUCUGUCGUGAAAGUCCGGGGCUUAACCCCGGAUCUGCGGUGGGUACGGGCAGACUAGAGUGCAGUAGGGGAGACUGGAAUUCCUGGUGUAGCGGUGGAAUGCGCAGAUAUCAGGAGGAACACCGAUGGCGAAGGCAGGUCUCUGGGCUGUAACUGACGCUGAGGAGCGAAAGCAUGGGGAGCGAACAGGAUUAGAUACCCUGGUAGUCCAUGCCGUAAACGUUGGGCACUAGGUGUGGGGACCAUUCCACGGUUUCCGCGCCGCAGCUAACGCAUUAAGUGCCCCGCCUGGGGAGUACGGCCGCAAGGCUAAAACUCAAAUGAA